CCCUUAGAUGUUCUGGGCCGCACGCGCGCUACACUGAUGCAUUCAACAAGCCUAGCCUUGACCGAGAGGUCCGGGUAAUCUUUGAAACUGCAUCGUGAUGGGGCUAGAUUAUUGCAAUUAUUAAUCUUCAACGAGGAAUGCCUAGUAAGCGUGAUUCAUCAAAUCGCGUUGAUUACGUCCCUGCCCUUUGUACACACCGCCCGUCGCUCCUACCGAUUGAAUGUGUUGGUGAGAAGCUCGGAUUGGCAGCAGUUGGUGGUUCGCCACCGGCUAUUGCUGAGAAGUCCUCCAAACCGCCCCAUUUAGAGGAAGGAGAAGUCGUAACA
rnacentral:rRNA from 1 species